UACGGGGGGAGCAAGCGUUGUUCGGAUUUACUGGGCGUAAAGGGCGCGUAGGCGGCGUAACAAGUCACUUGUGAAAUCUCCGGGCUUAACUCGGAGCGGUCAAGUGAUACUGUUGUGCUAGAGUGCGGAAGGGGCUACUGGAAUUCUCGGUGUAGCGGUGAAAUGCGUAGAUAUCGAGAGGAACACCUGCGGCGAAGGCGGCGCUCUGGCUCGCAACUGACGCUCAGACACGACGAGCAUGGGGAGCGAACGGG
rnacentral:rRNA from 1 species